rnacentral:rRNA from 1 species
AUUGAACGCUGGCGGCAUGCCUUACACAUGCAAGUCGAACGGCAGCACGGGUGCUUGCACCUGGUGGCGAGUGGCGAACGGGUGAGUAAUAUAUCGGAACGUACCUUAUUGUGGGGGAUAACGCAGCGAAAGCUGUGCUAAUAACGCAUAACCCAUAAGGGGGAAAGCGGGGGACCGUAAGGCCUCGCGCAAUUAGAGCGGCCGAUACCUGAUUAGCUAGUUGGUGAGGUAAAGGCUCACCAAGGCAACGAUCAGUAGCUGGUCUGAGAGGACGAUCAGCCACACUGGGACUGAGACACGGCCCAGACUCCUACGGGAGGCAGCAGUGGGGAAUUUUGGACAAUGGGGGCAACCCUGAUCCAGCAAUGCCGCGUGAGUGAAGAAGGCCUUCGGGUUGUAAAGCUCUUUUGUCAGGGAAGAAACAGCAGCUCUAACACAGUUUGCGAAUGACGGUACCUGAAGAAUAAGCACCGGCUAACUACGUGCCAGCCGCCGCAGUAA